UAUGUUCUGAGUAGGUGGGACAACACAGCUUCUGGAUGUUGAGUCUCAUUAUGUUCUGAGUAUGUAGGACAACACAGCUUCUGGAUGUUGAGUCUCAUUAUGGUCUGAGUAGGUGGGACAACACAGCUUCUGGAUGUUGAGUCUCAUUAUGGUCUGAGUAGGUGUGGACGACACAGCUUCUGGAUGCUGAGUCUCAUUAUGUUCUGAGUAGGUGGGACAACACAGCUUCUGGAUGUUGAGUCUCAUUAUGGUCUGAGUAGGUGGGACAACACAGCUUCUGGAUGUUGAGUCUCAUUAUGGUCUGAGUAGGUGUGGACGACACAGCUUCUGGAUGUUGAGUCUCAUUAUGGUCUGAGUAGGUGUGGACAACACAGCUUCUGGAUGUUGAGUCUCAUUAUGGUCUGAGUAGGUGGGACGACACAGCUUCUGGAUGUUGAGUCUCAUUAUGUUCUGAGUAGGUGGGACAACACAGCUUCUGGAUGUUGAGUCUCAUUAUGUUCUGAGUAGGUGUGGACAACACAGCUUCUGGAUGUUGAGUCUCAUUAUGUUCUGAGUAG
rnacentral:lncRNA from 1 species